rnacentral:rRNA from 1 species
UGGCAUCACGAGGGCUUAACUGUCUCCCCUCCCCAGUCAAUGAAAUUGAUCUCCCCGUGCAGAAGCGGGGAUAAUACCAUAAGACGAGAAGACCCUAUGGAGCUUUAGACGUCAGAGCAGCCCAUGUAAAGCACCCCUUAACAAAGGAAAAAACCAAAUGAAGCCUGCCCUAAUGUCUUUGGUUGGGGCGACCGCGGGGAAAUACAAAACCCCCAUGUGGAGUAGGAAUACACAUUCCUAAACCCAAGAGCUCCCGCUCUAAUGAACAGAAAUUCUGACCAAUAAGAUCCGGCACACGCCGAUCAACGGACCGAGUUACCCUAGGGAUAACAGCGCAAUCCCCUUAAAGAGCCCUUAUCGACAAGGGGGUUUACGACCUCGAUGUUGGAUCAGGACAUCCUAAUGGUGCAGCCGCUAUUAAGGGUUCGUUUGUUCAACGAUUAAAGNCCUAC